rnacentral:tRNA from 7 species
GGUCGCUUAGCUCAGCUGGCAGAGCAUCGCUUUUACACAGCGGGGGUCGGGGGUUCGAAUCCCUCAGCGACCACAA